rnacentral:rRNA from 1 species
UACGUAGGGUGCAAGCGUUGUCCGGAAUCAUUGGGCGUAAAGCGCGCGUAGGUGGUCAUGUAAGUCCGCUGUGAGAGUCAAAGGCUCAACCUUUGAAAGCCGGUGGAUACUGCAUGACUAGAGUACGGAAGAGGCGAGUGGAAUUCCUGGUGUAGCGGUGGAAUGCGCAGAUAUCAGGAGGAACACCAAUAGCGAAGGCAGCUCGCUGGGACGUUACUGACACUGAGGCGCGAAAGCGUGGGGAGCGAACAGG